UGGAUUAAUGAUGACUACUGGCAGUGUGUGAGUCAUAUACGAUGAGUGUGUGUCUGGAACUCUGAGGCCCAA
ensembl:snoRNA small nucleolar RNA SNORD113/SNORD114 family